ensembl:lncRNA
CAAUCAUCCACCAUCGUUGGCAGAGCUAUUUAAUGGUGUGGCUGAGUGACAGACAGCCCUGGAGUAUUCCACCAAGCCUGGUAGUGACUCAAGCUCAGAGAAUGUAAGAUAGCGAAGGAAGUCUAAUCGCGUCUGUUUGCCUUUUUUGCACUAAACGAACGAGACGGAGAGACGGGAGGAGAGAUGUCACUAUUCACAAGAGUUGUGUGGACAUACGAGGGGAGCACUGAAGGGACUUUGCACUGUGGAUAACUGUGGAGUGGCUUCACUCUAAAUAAAGACACUGUUCAACUUUAACGAGAGGUCCGCGUCUGGGUUCACUAACUCACCACCCUUAACAGGAGGACUUGUAAGAAUGAAUGAUGCUGCGAAGCAUGAAAAUGCCAUUGGGUCUGCAGUGGUGGUUUACAGUCACGUCACAUGACAGCGUAACACCUAAACACAAGAGGGGGGAGGAGGAGCAAAGUCUGCCUGCUUUUCGCUGACACGGAAGCAGCGAAUCCGGCGACCUGGCUGUUUCGUCUUUGCCGAAUGCACAGCAUUGCAAACAAGAGCAGUAAGUAAAGGAUCAAUUUCACCAGGCUAGAAUCAAUCUGAUACCGAUGCCGAAUUGGUAUCAAUUAAUAACGUGAUAAUUAAUGUGAUAUUGAUUCAUUAAAUCCUGAAUCGAUUUCUAAAUAUAAAUGUAUUUUGCCAGAAACGCAGGGAGCUCACAAAACUAUUUCAAUAACCACUAGGUGGCGCUAUCACUUGGUGUUCGCUCGCUCUCUGUUACUUUGAAACAGUUAUC